CUGGCGGCGUGCCUAUCAUGCAAUUCUAGCGGACAGAAGGGAGCUUGCUCCCGGAUGUUAGCGGCGGACGGGUGAGUAACACGUGGGUAACCUGCCUGUAAGACUGGGAUAACUCCGGGAAACCGGAGCUAAUACCGGAUAGUUCCUUGAACCGCAUGGUUCAAGGAUGAAAGACGGUUUCGGCUGUCACUUACAGAUGGACCCGCGGCGCAUUAGCUAGUUGGUGGGGUAAUGGCUCACCAAGGCGACGAUGCGUAGCCGACCUGAGAGGGUGAUCGGCCACACUGGGACUGAGACACGGCCCAGACUCCUACGGGAGGCAGCAGUAGGGAAUCUUCCGCAAUGGACGAAAGUCUGACGGAGCAACGCCGCGUGAGUGAUGAAGGUUUUCGGAUCGUAAAGCUCUGUUGUUAGGGAAGAACAAGUGCGAGAGUAACUGCUCGCACCUUGACGGUACCUAACCAGAAAGCCACGGCUAACUACGUGCCAGCAGCCGCGGUAAUACGUAGGUGGCAAGCGUUGUCCGGAAUUAUUGGGCGUAAAGGGCUCGCAGGCGGUUUCUUAAGUCUGAUGUGAAAACCCCCGGCUCAACCGGGGAGGGUCAUUGGAAACCUGGGAAACUUGAGUGCAAAAAAAGAAAAGUUGGAAAUUCCACGUUGUAGCCGGUGAAAAUGCCUAAAAAAGUUCGAAGGAAACCCCA
rnacentral:rRNA from 1 species